UCAACAAAGGCUCACAAGUCUACAAAUUCAAGCAGCUGAGAUUAUGAAAGUACCCCUAUUCUCUCUCCUCUCGACGUGGAAACUCUAUCCUCAUUUCCUCCUUUGCUAACUCUCGGGAAUUAUAACGUAAAAUACAAAAGCGUACAAGCCUUCAAAGCCACCCUUCUUGUCUUAUCGUUUUUCACGAUUUUUGUCUGUGUUUCUGGCUUCUGGUACUCAUAAAAGUGUAGGUUUAUGUAAGUUUCGUUAUAUGAUAAUUGAGAUUUGAUCCGAACAGUGGAUCUGAAAACGCUGAUGGAAAGGAUCGUCGGAGGUAAAUUUAAACUCGGCCGCAAGAUCGGCAGUGGAUCCUUUGGCGAAAUAUUUAUAGCUACACAUAUUGAUACUUUUGAGAUCGUUGCGGUGAAGAUCGAAAAUAAUAAAACAAAGCACCCACAACUUCUUUAUGAGGCCAAGUUAUACAAUAUUCUUCAAGGAGGAAGUGGUAUACCUGGUACAAAAUGGUCUGGCCAGGAUGGGGAUGAUAACGUCCUUGUCCUUGAUUUGCUGGGACCAAGCCUUGAGGAUCUUUUUGUGUACUGUGGUAGGAAGUUCUCACUGAAAACUGUCUUGAUGUUGGCUGAUCAAAUGAUAACUAGAAUAGAAUUUGUACAUUCUAAAGGGUUUUUGCAUCGGGAUAUUAAGCCAGAUAACUUUCUAAUGGGCCUUGGACGAAAAGCGAAUCAGGUUUAUAUUAUUGAUUUUGGCCUUGCCAAACGAUAUCGAGAUUCAACAACAAAUAGGCAUAUCCCCUACAGGGAAAAUAAGAAUUUGACAGGGACUGCACGGUAUGCAAGUUGUAAUACUCAUCUUGGGAUUGAGCAAAGUCGGCGGGAUGAUUUAGAAUCCCUUGGAUAUGUACUUCUGUAUUUCUUGAGAGGAAGCCUUCCAUGGCAGGGUUUGAAAGCUGCCACAAAGAAGCAAAAGUAUGACAAAAUAUGUGAGAAAAAAUUAUCAAUUCCUAUUGAGGUGUUGUGCAAGUCCCAUCCAGUGGAAUUUGCUUCGUAUUUCCACUACUGUCAUUCAUUGACAUUUGACCAACGGCCUGAUUAUGGAUUCUUGAAACGCCUCUUUCGUGAACUGUCUACUCGCGGAGGAUAUGAAUUUGAUUACAUAUUUGACUGGACAAUUCUGAAAUAUCAGCAAGCACAAAUAAGUAAAACACAACAACGCGUACCACCAAAUGCUGGUGAGAGCAGUCGUCCACGUCCUGUGGAUAUGGAAAAGCAACAAGGCAAAAAUGCUUCUUAUUUAGUUGACUUGGGUGAACGGAUGAGAUCAAACAAUGCAGCUGGUAGUUCUGGCAUUCGUAUGGAAUUUAAAUCAUCAACAAAUCGAAAUUCCGAGAAUCCUCUUAGUAGAAAUAUGAUGAGCAAUGCGCACAUGCCAUCUACUUCAUUUGCUUCUGCUGACAUAGCGAAAGGGAAUGACUCAAAACCUGUAGUAUCUACUGAAGCAAGUACUGGUAAUGGAAAUGGCGAUAAUACUGGUCCUUCAAGUAGUUGGAUCUCUUCUCUGCGCCGUAUUUCUUCUGCCAAGUGAAUGAUAUGGUAGACACCAAGCUGGAACAGUGCACAUGCUGUGGAUUUAAAAUUAUUUUUCUGUGUGCCAUGGUUACAAGGUUGUAAGUAGGGUGUGGCUGAUCCUGAUCAUUGUAUGAAGACAUUCGGUUUCAUUUUUUAUGAGAUACGGUGAUGUAUGUCUACACAGCAGCUACUGUUCUGUGGUUGGAGGCCUUGGUUAGAUGUCCUUGAGAUGAUUACUGAACACAUUGGUUGAUUGGAUUUGCUCUUUCUACCUAUAUGAUACUGUGGGUAGAAUGGGGCAGAGAAAUAUUAUUGAAGCUGGUAUCGCCACUGACUGGUGCGGCUUCUGUGAGAUAAGUCUGUCUUUUCUAUGAUCAGUGCCAAAAGAAGCUGGAAUUGUUGACUCUUUAGGUUCAUCUUGUUAAUUUUAUGAAAAGUAGUGAUGUGUUUUCAAAUGAACCGGAAACAUCUUAAGCAACUGCUUGUGAUGGAUUAAUCACAAGCGAGGAAUCUGUUGAAUGUACUGUGGCAUGUAUAUAUCUUUCUGCAUAUAAGACACGAGGCAUACUGGAUUGCUUUAAGAAGCCACAUCCCGAACUGUUACGAGCAUGGGUUUCUAAUGUGGAUUAUAAUGUGACAACCCGUCAAAGAUUGCAGAAAAUAAACCAGGCUUAUAAGCCUAGGUUGUGAUCUGAAGAACUAAAGCUGGUAUAUUGCCCUCUCAUUUACAUGGAAUGACUGUAAAUAUUUUUCAAAAGAAAAACAGUGACAAGGCUGCAGAAAAUGAGAGCAGACUUCCUGGUCAGUGAAUGGUUUCUGUGAGAUUCAAGUUAUUCAAACUAGAGAAAAGUAUUUGCUGGAUGUGAAGUGCCGAAUAGGUUGUAAUGAGCUCUUUAUGCUAUGGGAUUAUUAUUGAUUUGCAAAAUAAUGUGGAGAUGCUUGCAGUUUGGGUUGAUAAGAAAUCAGUUCUAUUUUAUCAAUCCUAGGUGUUUGAUGUUGAUGCUGCUGCUCUUUGUAGCACUUUUAGGAUCUUUUCAUGCCUUGUUACAGAUUGGCAAGCUGGUGAAAUAAUAGGGAUUUUUCACCUUGUGACAAGGUGAUUCCCUCGAUGCUGUUGAAAAUUUAUGCAAAAUAGUUGUGGAGAUUGGCAUCUUUGCCAGCACACACUAAUCAUGAAAGGACGGGUAAGAAUUGCAGAUUGAGCGAGUCGAGUCUGGUUCAGACAAGAGUUUGCUUUCAGUUGAUCAAUUGUGUCAAACUCUUUGGUCUCAUCAGGAGGUAAGAGUAAGAGAAAUGUACCUCCCAGUCAAUCAAGCUUCCAAAUUUUCUAUGAAUAAAAAUCGGAAAAAAAAGGCAAAAAAAAAAAAACCGCUUUUGUAUCUUCUAAAUUUGGAGUUAAUUACCCAAAUAAUCACUGAACUUUGCCAAAAAUCUCUGGGUCACCGAAUUUCAAAACUUCUUUAAAUAGUUGAUGGACUUUGUCAAAAGUUUUCAUCAGGUCAUCGAAUUUCAAAAUUUCUCAAAAUAGUCACUAAAUUUUGCCAAAAGUUUUCAGGAGAACUUCAAAACUUCCCUAAAUAAUCACCGAAUUUUGCAAAAAGUUUUCAGGGGUUACUAAACUAGUAAUAUAUGUGGUCCCAAUUUGCAAAGUUGAGUGGUGCUUGAUAACUUUUUGCAAAGUCUAGUGACUAUUUAGAGAAGUUUUCAAAUUUGGUGGCUUCUUGGGAACUUUUGAGACAGUUCAAUGACUAUUUGGGAAACUCACUUUAAAUUUGUGUUCUAUGUGAUCAAAAUAAAUUGGGAAAUAAUAAAAUAGCACGAUUGGCAUAGUGAA